AACGAACGCUGGCGGCAGGCCUAACACAUGCAAGUCGAACGCCGUAGCAAUACGGAGUGGCAGACGGGUGAGUAACACGUGGGAACGUACCCUUCGGUUCGGGAUAACUCAGGGAAACUUGAGCUAAUACCGGAUACGUCCGAGAGGAGAAAGAUUUAUCGCCGAGGGAUCGGCCCGCGUCUGAUUAGCUUGUUGGUGAGGUAACGGCUCACCAAGGCGACGAUCAGUAGCUGGUCGAGAGGAUGAUCAGCCACAUUGGGACUGAGACACGGCCCAAACUCCUACGGGAGGCAGCAGUGGGGAAUAUUGGACAAUGGGCGCAAGCCUGAUCCAGCCAUGCCGCGUGAGUGAUGAAGGCCCUAGGGUUGUAAAGCUCUUUACCCGGGAAGAUAAUGACUGUACCGGGAGAAUAAGCCCCGCUAACUUCGUGCCAGCAGCCGCAGUAAU
rnacentral:rRNA from 1 species